CCUACGGGUGGCACCAGUAGGGAAUAUUUGAAAAUGGGCGAAAGCCUGAUCCAGCAACACCGCGUGCACGAUGACGGCCUUCGGGUUGUAAAGUGCUUUUAGAGGAGAUGAGAAAGGACAGUAUCCUCUGAAUAAGCCUCGGCGAACUACGUGCCAGCAGCCGCGGUAACACGUAGGGGGCGAGCGUUGUCCGGAAUUACUGGGUGUAAAGCGCGUGCAGGCGGUCUAGCAAGUUGGAUGUGAAAGCUCCCGGCUCAACU
rnacentral:rRNA from 1 species